UGGGGAAUAUUGCACAAUGGGCGAAAGCCUGAUGCAGCGACGCCGCGUGAGUGAAGAAGUAUUUCGGUAUGUAAAGCUCUAUCAGCAGGGAAGAAAAUGACGGUACCUGACUAAGAAGCCCCGGCUAACUACGUGCCAGCAGCCGCGGUAAUACGUAGGGGGCAAGCGUUAUCCGGAUUUACUGGGUGUAAAGGGAGCGUAGACGGCGAAGCAAGUCUGAAGUGAAAACCCAGGGCUCAACCCUGGGACUGCUUUGGAAACUGUUUUGCUAGAGUGUCGGAGAGGUAAGUGGAAUUCCUAGUGUAGCGGUGAAAUGCGUAGAUAUUAGGAGGAACACCAGUGGCGAAGGCGGCUUACUGGACGAUAACUGACGUUGAGGCUCGAAAGCGUGGGUAGCAAACAGG
rnacentral:rRNA from 1 species